AAUCUAUGGUGAGAGCAUCACCUAGGUAGGUCUUUAUAUCGCUCCCAAGCCUUAUAAACUGAUUCGCCUUCAAUUUGAGCAAAAUUUGAAAUUUCAUUAUGCAU